rnacentral:lncRNA from 1 species
UAAUAUUGGUGAGUGUUACAGGUUAUGCAAGAUAUGAUCUUCGUGAGCCUUCGGGAGUCAGUACGCCUUGCUAGAGGCCAAUGCUAACUGUUGAUUGAAAAUGGUUUUCGAGUCAUGUCCGUUGGUUGCAUGAACCUAUGGGGUCACACAUUUAAGAGACUGGAACACAUGGAUACUUGUAUAAUUAACUCUUAUGCAAGUGGGAGACUGUUG